rnacentral:rRNA from 1 species
AGCAGCCGCGGUAAUUCCAGCUCCAAUAGCGUAUAUUAAAGUUGUUGUGGUUAAAAAGCUCGUAGUUGAACCUUGGGCCUGGCUGGCCGGUCCGCCUCACCGCGUGUACUGGUCCGGCCGGGUCUUUCCCUCUGUGGAACCCUAUGCCCUUCACUGGGUGUAGCGGGGAAACAGGACUUUUACUUUGAAAAAUUAGAGUGCUCCAGGCAGGCCUAUGCUCGAAUACAUUAGCAUGGAAUAAUAGAAUAGGACGUGUGGUUCUAUUUUGUUGGUUUCUAGGACCGCCGUAAUGAUUAAUAGGGACAGUCGGGGGCAUCAGUAUUCAAUUGUCAGAGGUGAAAUUCUUGGAUUUAUUGAAGACUAACUACUGCGAAAGCAUUUGCCAAGGAUGUUUUCAUUAAUCAGGAACGAAAGUUAGGGGAUCGAAGACGAUCAGAUACCGUCGUAGUC